rnacentral:lncRNA from 1 species
UGUUUCUCUGUGUGUGUGUGAUGUUAGUGAUGUGUGUGUGUGAUGGAUGUGUGUGUAUAUGUGAUGUGUAUAUGCGUGUGUGAUGUGUGUGUGAUGUAUGUGAUGUGUGUGUGUGUGUAUGAUGUGUGUGUGUGUGAGUGAUAUGUGUGUGAGUGUAUGUGUGUGUGUGAUGUGUGUGUGAUGUUAGUGAUGUGUGUGUG